AUUGAACGCUGGCGGCAUGCUUUACACGUGCAAGUCGAACGGUAACAGGCCGCAAGGUGCUGACGAGUGGCGAACGGGUGAGUAAUGCAUCGGAACGUGCCCAGUCGUGGGGGAUAACGCAGCGAAAGCUGUGCUAAUACCGCAUACGAUCUAUGGAUGAAAGAGGGGGACCGUAAGGCCUCGCGCGAUUGGAGCGGCCGAUGUCAGAUUAGGUAGUUGGUGGGGUAAAGGCUCACCAAGCCAACGAUCUGUAGCUGGUCUGAGAGGACGACCAGCCACACUGGGACUGAGACACGGCCCAGACUCCUACGGGAGGCAGCAGUGGGGAAUUUUGGACAAUGGGCGCAAGCCUGAUCCAGCAAUGCCGCGUGCAGGAAGAAGGCCUUCGGGUUGUAAACUGCUUUUGUACGGAACGAAACGGCGAGCUCUAAUACAGUUUGCUAAUGACGGUACCGUAAGAAUAAGCACCGGCUAACUACGUGCCAGCCGCCGCUGUAA
rnacentral:rRNA from 1 species